CACUGUGUGCUGCCUCACCCGGGCCCAGUGUGGGGUCCACAUAAGGGGUGAAGGCCAGGAGAGGGGAAGCUGGGUCCUCCUGGAGGUCGGCUGCCACACUGCCUCAGGGCCUCCCUCCUGGUCCAUGGGGUCAUUGCUAUGGACUGAAUGGUCUUGCUCCCUGCUCCCAGAUGGUGCUUGGGGGUGGAGCUUGGGGAAGUGAGACAUCACCCAGGUGCAGCCUUCACAUAGGAUUGGCUCCCUAUCAAGAGACACCAGGGAGUCCACUUUCCCUCUCCCCACCUGGUGGAGACAGCAAGACACAUCCACCCACAGGAAGGGCCUCCUAGGACCCAGCCUCAUCUUUCCUGAGCCUCCAGAGCCAUGGGAAAUCAAUCCGUGUGACUUUAGGCUCCUAGUCUGGGUGUCUUCAGUCUGUGUUAUUUUGCUAUAGCAGCCCAAGCUGUCGAAGGUGUCUCUGUACCUAAGUCUUUUAUCCCCAAUUCUGCUCUCGGAUGGAAGCCCUGCUGAGGCAGUGGAUGGUUUUCUCUUAUCCUUUUAAUGAUGCAGAUGUGUGCGUGAUGAUAGGGAAAGAUUUCCAAAAUACAUCAAGUGCAAAAACAAGAGGUCGAACUGUUCUAGCACAUGCACAAACCUGGCGACUGUAUGGGAAACUUCCUCAUGGUCAGUGGGGUGACUUGGGGGAGAAGAUGAGGAAAGACUUUCUAAUUUUCAUUUCAUGAUUCUCAACAUGAAUUUUUGAAACACAUUUAUGUAUUCCCUUAAAAACAGUUUGACUUUUUGAGGUGGUGAAAUCAUGAGCAAUUUCUAAUUUCUCUAUAAUUUUCUGCAUAAAAUAUUUCAUAGUGCUUUAAAAAAUAACUUUAUCAAUUAAAAACCACUGUCUCCUGUCACAAUUGAAAUUGUUUUUAGAAGUCCUAAGUCAAAACAGUAUGAGGGCUCCUGUGUGGCCUCUCUCCAGGUGGUGGGCUGUGGUUUUGCCCACCUGGCCUACUCAGAGGGGGGUGGAGAGGCAUUCUGGACUGCAGGAGUCCCUGCUCAGUGACAGGGCACUUCUUGAGACCACUGAGGGGCUGGGCGCCACUAUCCUAACAUCUUGCCGAACCAAGCCUGGUGCAGUGCCUGUAAUCCCAGCAGCUCCGGAGGCUAAGGCCAGAGGAUUGCAAGUCCCAAGCCAGCCUCAGAUGCUUAGCAAAACUAGGAAUGCACAGAGGAAUCAUCACCUGGAAGCAUUCCCAGAAUCUUGUUCUCGUUCUCAGUAACUUUUAAUAUUUCAAAUUCAGGUAGAACUCCUCACCAAGAUCAUCUGAAUCCUGAUAAAGAGCACUUAUAGGAGAACUCAAAGGAUAACGGGGUAAAAUUCUCGUCUUGGAAGUGACAGGCAGCCAGGCAGUGAUGAAGCAAAGUGGUGGCUGCCUCCUGGGUGUCUUCAGCAGGUAGAGCCAGGACAGGGUGCCAAGUAGCCUCAGGAUCCUGCCUCAGGGUAGCUCGCUGCUGUGCGCAGCGGCCACCAGGUGGCGCCAGCUGCAGUCGCAAACCCCGGGCUCUGCUCUGCAUCCAGGUGGCACCAGCCCAUGUUGCCUGGAUCCCAGAGGCAGCUCCCUGCCUGGGGCUGCAGCCCCACAUUUAACCUUGAUUUUCAAAGACCACACGUCCAGAGGCUGUGGGAGGGUUUUACUACCGUGAGCAGCAGAGGGCUCUUACCACAGGUGGGUUGCUCAGUAAGACUUACAUCCAAGCCAGAUAUGGUCUACACUGAUCAAUUUAAGAAUGAGUUGUCAGUUUCACUAACUGGCAUGAAGCUAGUGAAGAGAAAAAACGAGAAACCAUCAGUACUUUUCAAGACCAUUUUUUUUUUAAGGAAGAAAAAAUUGUAACUUAAAAAAUAAACACCUUUCUCAAUUACUGGAAUAUUUCUUGAUAAGCAAGUAUAUUUCCUACAAUUUUAUUUGCUAACCAAGUAUCCUUAUCAAGCUUGUGUUGUCAUGGAGGAAGGGGUCCUCCGUGGCUAGGCCACUGUGCCCUUUGAGUGCUCUGGCUGGGACCGUGGUGGUGUUUCCUUCGGCCCCUCCUGGGCAGCGGUCUGCGUGGCUGGUCAGUGGGUUCCUCGAGGCUGGCACGCAGUGCUGACUUCCACUCAUCCCCGUGGGAGUCCACUGCUCCCAGCUUACUUUCGUUUUUUAGCUGAGACACAAACAUGAGGUUAGAUCAACAUCACGUUAAUGUGAUAACAGUCCAACGUGUGAUGUAAACACAGGAAAUGAGCGGAAGAGUUCCCCUCCAGAGCCACCUCGCUGGGCUGGCCUGCCUCGUCUCUGACGUGUCCCAGCUGCCUGGGCCUCUCGGGGCAGCCGUGCCCGCUCCGUGCCUGCUCUUGGUUUUCCUGCACGGCGUGAGUUGUGGGGCAGAGGGGACGUGGCGGGAGACGGCUGGCCUGCCUCAAGUGUCCUCGAAGCAGCAGAAAGAUCAGCAACUGCGAGCCUCCAUCUGGGUGGCCACUUCUUCUGCUUCCACACUCUUGACUCCUUUUCAUCAAAUUGGACCAAGUGCUCACGAUGCUUUGUUCCUAGAGGAGAAGUGGGAAAUCCUGGUUCCUGUGGCUCCCAGGUGGAGGCUGCCCUUGGAGACGCUCCCAGAGACCCUGCAUGCAGGACGUGGCGGCUCAUCGACCAGCUCCAGCCCACUGGAGACUCUUCCUUGGACUGGAAAAUAUUUACAUCCUGGGUUCAUCUAGAGAAAUUAAAAGGAGCACUGUUGGAGAAUCGAACAAUUAAAUGUGAUUAAAUAUAAAUGCAAAGAUGAAAAUCCUUAGCUACAUUCCAAGUGCCCCCCUUGGGGGAGACUGCAGGGUUGGACUUAAUGAUUCACAAGCCUGUUUGGGGGCUCCAGGGUUGCCAGUCCUCUGGCCUCUGAGAGUGAGCUCUGCUUCUGCUUCAGAGGAGAGAGUCGAGACUUCACAAGGCAGGAUGGGUCGAAGGAGACCAAAGGCGGGAAUGGAGAAGGCGGAUGAGAAAAGUUAAUUCUCGUUUUUUUUUUUUUUUGGAGUGAAAUACCCUAUGUCAGGCAAUGAGAGUUCACCCUUAGGGUCUUGCACAAAGUUGUUAGUAAAUGUACAUUGCUCACCUAUGCUUUAUAGAGAGAAUCCCUACUGAGAACAGAAGACUCCUGAAUUGGGCUUUGAGGUCAGUGCAAGUUGAAAUCAGUCUUCUACAGAAGAGAUUACAGAUGAGAUGAUGCUCAGCUGGAGAGUGACCUCCCCAUCCAAGACCCCACAUCCUUCAUGAUUUGCAGGGAUAGAGCAGAGGCUUAGGGCUCCUAACAGAAGAUUCUCACAGCAUUUAAAACAGGAACGUCUCUAGUUUACGUGCAUGACUCUGCGUUUGGUGGGGAGAAGACAAUAAUAUGUAAACAUCAGUUACCCAUAAUUAUAAAGUGCAUAAACCAG